rnacentral:rRNA from 1 species
UACAGAGGCCUCGAGCGUUAGGCGGAAUCACUGGGCUUAAAGCGUGUGUAGGCGGACUUCUAAGUGCCUUGUGAAAUCCCACGGCUCACCCGUGGAACUGCUGGGCAUACUGGGAGUCUUGAGCCACCUAGGGGCGAGCGGAACAAAUGGUGGAGCGGUGAAAUGCGUAGAUAUCAUUUGGAACGCCAACGGAGAAAUCAGCUCGCUGGGGGUGUGCUGACGCUGAGUGCGCGAAAGCCAGGGGAGCAAACGGG